GUAUCUCCGGUAUCCUAGGGACAGCAACAGGCGCAAAAGAAUAACACCCAGUGCCUGUCUUUGAGGUGCUGCAGUUCAGUAGGAAAAAGAAAUGCAAAUGACCGCAGAGCAGGCUGAAUUCCUCCAAGUUCCAAUGUGGGUGCAGAGGCUCUCUGUGUGCAGGUGCCUUUGGGGCCCCAUAGAGGCCAGGGAGGGGCUAGGGGAUGGUUCUGGGAGGUGAGGGUUCAGGAGCAGCCCUUUCCUGUGCCCCGCUUCUGAAAGUCUCCAUAAACCCCUGUGGCCCACUCUGCCUUCCAGAAAGAGGGGCUGAACUGCGAGGUGGCCACCAACACAGAGGCCCUGCAGAGUGGCUGGAUAGAGAUAUGGAGCUCUACGUCUCUGUGCAGAACCUGAGCCGUCCCAGCUCAGCAAGAAAGCAUCGCUGGAGGGCAGCCUGGUGGAGAUGGAGGUGUGUUACAGGACCCUGCCGGCCCAGCUGCAGGGGCUUAACAGAAGCAUGGAGCAGCAGCUGUGCGAGCUCUGCUGCGACACGGAGCACCAGGACCACAAGCACAGGUCCUUCUGGACGU
rnacentral:lncRNA from 10 species